UGUUACUGCGAUGGAGAGACGGAGAAGGCUAGGCCGGCAUGGCGUUGGUUGUCCAUGUUUAAGGUAGUAGGCUGGGGACUUAGGCAAAUCCGGGUCCCUAAGGCUGAGAGCUGAUGACGAGUUCCUUUUGGGACGAAGUGGUCGAUGCCCUGCUUCCAAGAAAAUCUUCUAAGCUUCAGGUAACAGUUGACCGUACUGUAAACCGACACAGGUGAUCAGGUAGAGAAUACCAAGGCGCUUGAGAGAACUCGGGUGAAGGAACUAGGCAAAAUAGUACCGUAACUUCGGGAGAAGGUACGCCGCUGACGGUGAAGGGCUUGCCCCGUAAGCUGUUGGUGGUCGAAGUGACCAGGUGGCUGCGACUGUUUAUUAAAAACAUAGCACUCUGCAAACACGUAAGUGGACGUAUAGGGUGUGACGCCUGCCCGGUGCCGGAAGGUUAAUUGAUGGGGUUAUCUUCGGAGAAGCUCUUGAUCGAAGCCCCGGUAAACGGCGGCCGUAACUAUAACGGUCCUAAGGUAGCGAAAUUCCUUGUCGGGUAAGUUCCGACCUGCACGAAUGGCGUAACGAUGGCCACGCUGUCUCCACCCGAGACUCAGUGAAAUUGAAAUCGCAGUUAAGAUGCUGUGUUCCCGCGGCUAGACGGAAAGACCCCGUGAACCUUUACUACAGCUUUGCACUGAACUUUGAACCUACUUGUGUAGGAUAGCUGGGAGGCUUUGAAACAUAGACGCCAGUUUAUGUGGAGCCGUCCUUGAAAUACCAGCCUGGUAUGUUUGAGGUUCUAACCUAGGUCCCUUAUCGGGAUUGGGGACAGUGUAUGGUGGGUAGUUUGACUGGGGCGGUCUCCUCCCAAAGAGUAACGGAGGAGCACGAAGGUUGGCUAAUCAUGGUCGGAAAUCAUGAGGUUAGUGUAAUGGCACAAGCCAGCUUGACUGCGAGUCAGACACGACGAGCAGGUACGAAAGUAGGUCAUAGUGAUCCGGUGGUUCUGUAUGGAAGGGCCAUCGCUCAACGGAUAAAAGGUACUCCGGGGAUAACAGGCUGAUACCGCCCAAGAGUUCACAUCGACGGCGGUGUUUGGCACCUCGAUGUCGGCUCAUCACAUCCUGGGGCUGAAGCCGGUCCCAAGGGUAUGGCUGUUCGCCAUUUAAAGUGGUACGCGAGCUGGGUUUAGAACGUCGUGAGACAGUUCGGUCCCUAUCUGCCGUGGGCGUUGGAAAGUUGAGAAGAGUUGCUCCUAGUACGAGAGGACCGGAGUGAACGAACCUCUGGUGUUCGGGUUGUCACGCCAGUGGCACUGCCCGGUAGCUAUGUUCGGACGGGAUAACCGCUGAAAGCAUCUAAGCGGGAAGCCUCCUUCAAGAUAAGCUUUCCCUGGGGCUUGACCCCCUAAAGGGCCGUUGAAGACUACGACGUUGAUAGGCUGGGUGUGGAAGCGCUGUGAGGCGUUGAGCUAACCAGUACUAAUUGCCCGUGAGGCUUGACC
rnacentral:rRNA from 1 species